rnacentral:misc_RNA from 1 species
AACGCACAUUGCGCCCUUUGGUAUUCCAAAGGGCAUGCCUGUUCGACCGUCAUUUGUACCCUCAAGCUUUGCUUGGUGCUGGGCGUCUUGUCUCUAGCUUUGCUGGAGACUCGCAUUAAAGUAAUUGGCAGCCGGGCUACGGGUUUCGGGGCGCAGCACAAGUCGCACUCUCUAUCAGCAAAGGUCUAGCAUCCAUUAAGCCUUUUUGUGAACUAUGGACCUCGGAUCAGGUAGGGAUUCCCGCGGAACU